CAAAUUAUAGCUUAAUAAAGUAUUUUAUUUACAUUAAAAAGUUAAUUGUUAGUAUCAAUUUAAUUUGA
rnacentral:tRNA from 1 species